UUUUUAUGAGAGUUUGAUCCUGGCUCAGGACGAACGCUGGCGGCGUGCCUAAUACAUGCAAGUCGAACGCUUCUUUUUCCACCGGAGCUUGCUCCACCGGAAAAAGAAG
rnacentral:rRNA from 1 species